AAGCUUGUUAGAUAAUAGAAGAAGGCAUUGCAAAAAAGAAAGGAAAAGAAGACAAAAGAAAGGGAGCAAAGAAAAAAAAAAUAGGAAAAUCCAAAAACCGGAGUUUGUUUAAAAAAAGAAAAAUAGAGAGGUGCCCCACAUCAUCAUACCCAGGCAAAGCAAAGCCAAGCCCAAACAAACAAACUCCUUUGGAAAACCUCGAUCCCAUUCGAUGAAAAAGAUUCAAAAACAUUCACUNAGAGUAAGAAUCAGAUCAUCUAGAGAUUGAUGAAGCACGGUUCCACAAACGGGACGAACACCGGUUUCCAAAAGAUGCUCUCCG
rnacentral:lncRNA from 1 species